AGCCAGGGAGGUGGCUGGAGGCCGGGCGGUGGCUUGGGGUAAUCCAGGAUCCGGGCUCAGGGGAGGGGGUGGGGGGCGUCACUGUCCCCGAGGGGCCAGCCCUUUGCAGAUCUCCAAAAAGUUCAAAGUCCCUGGUCAUUAACUUGGGCUUGAAGACGGGAGCUCGCCCAUCCCGGAAGGGGGCUAGGGGGGACCAGGGCCCGCGACAGGAAGCCUCCGCGCGACAGAAAAGCCCCGGGGGACCAGGCAGAGAGACCCGCAGGCCUAGCCCGCCCCGGAAUCGCCCUGAGCCAGCUGCAGAUAGCCCCACCACCUCUCUCCGGGGACCAGUCACUUCCAGAGAUGGCCCAAACCUGGCCAUUCCCUGGGGCAUCCUGGUCUGCCGCUGCUCACCCCCAAAGCAUUGCCCAGGAGAAUAGGUGAUUGCCUCUCCCAUUACUCACAUCCUGCCCGUCCCUUCUCCAUGGGGGCCUCAGGUCCACCCUUUCCUCUCC
rnacentral:lncRNA from 1 species